ACGGGAAACGCUAAUUUCCAUUUUUCCCAUUUCCACGUAUCCCAUAAUCCCCACAUCUCUCUCUCCUCCCACUCCUUUCAUUUCCCUGUUUGCAUCUCUCUCUUCCGACUGCACCGUAGGUUUGCAUCUUGACUCUCUACACCAUGCGUGAGUAGGUCUGUCGUAUGUGGUCUGCCGUGAGUGGUGCAUCUGUGGUCUGCCGUCUUCAAAGGUUUCAGCAUUCCAACAACACGAUACACAAAUGGUUUAAACAGAUUGUAAGGGCUGUUUGUUCAUUUUGCACUGAGAUAUUUCGUUCGACAAAUCAAGACGUUGUGCAUGAGCGGAUUUUGCGCAUAUAUCAUUUCUUUAAAGAUUGUAUAGAAGCAAUAGAUGGAACACAUGUUGCAGCUUGAGCUCCUGCAUCAAGACAAACAUUUUUUCGAGAAAGGAAAACUAAUGUAAUGAAAAAUGUGAUGUUGACAUGCGAUUUUGAUAUGGAAUUCAUAUUUGUAUAUGUCGGCUGGGAAGGUACUACUAAUGAUUCGUUGACGCAGUCACAAGAAGGUCGAACAACUUUCCAAUGCCAUGAGGAGAUCAAUUUUACCUUGUUGAUUCUGGAUAUCCAAACAUGCCUAGAUUUCUUGCCCGUUAUCGAGGUCAAAUAUAUCAUCUGUGUGACUAUGUUGGACAAGAAAGAUUACGUGGGAAGGAAGAAUUGUUCAACUAUAGACACUCCUCGUGCUGUAACAUUAUUAAAUGUUGCAUUGGGGUUUUAAAGGCAAAAUUUUCUAUUCUGAAGUUGAUUACCAAUUAUCCACUUAGUAGGUAAAGACAAAUUCCUACUGCAUGUUGUGCAAUAAACAACUUUAUUCGUCAAGAGCACGCUUUAGAUAAAUUAUUUGUAGAGUAUUCAGAGGAGAAUAUGGUGUUUCAAGACAUAUUAGAGUCAAGUCAAAAUCAAGAAGUCAUACAUUUUGAUGCUAGUCAAACAGCUCAAAUAGGACAAGUCAGGGAUUAAAUUGUUGCACAAAUGUGGAAUGACUGCUCAAGACAUCGUACAUGAUUUCGUGGAUGUAGUUUAUAUUUUGUUUAGUGUCUACUUGUUUUGUCAUGACACGUAAACUUCUUAUAGUAUCUAUUGAACUGUGUUACCAAAUUUAAUUUA